GUAGCUUGGAAUUAUAAUUAAAAAAAAAAAAAAAGUGAACCUGUGAUAUCCAAGAAAUAAGGAGUCCACGUUGCAUUCUCUCAGACACGGCACUGUGACAAAAAUAAAGGCAAGGAGAGAGGGACACGUCCCAGUUGUCAUCUGUGCUAAUUGGGAGUGGGAAGCGUUGGCGAGCAUUGGAGCGGACGGUAUAGCGCUCAGAGCAGAAGGCUGGAACUCUGUAAGGCCACAUCGAGCUGCCUGUGCAGCUUCUUUACGAAAGAAGAAAACUGGGAAACAACAAAGUGUGAUGCCUUGGGGUCCUCCAGAUUUGAGUCUGCUGCCCUCUGUGUGCCUCGCUCCGAUUCCUCUCCAAAGGCAACCACAGUCCUCAAGUCAGUGUGUUUAAUUCUUAUGAAUAUUUUUAUAGUUUUAGUGUAUAUGGAUUUAGCCAUAAAAAAUACACUCCCUGUUUCCUUUAAUUUAAAAUUUAAAUAAAUGAUAUCAUAAUGUA